AGGACGAACGCUGGCGGCGUGCCUAAUACAUGCAAGUCGAGCGGACAGAUGGGAGCUUGCUCCCUGAUGUUAGCGGCGGACGGGUGAGUAACACGUGGGUAACCUGCCUGUAAGACUGGGAUAACUCCGGGAAACCGGGGCUAAUACCGGAUGGUUGUUUGAACCGCAUGGUUCAAACAUAAAAGGUGGCUUCGGCUACCACUUACAGAUGGACCCGCGGCGCAUUAGCUAGUUGGUGAGGUAACGGCUCACCAAGGCGACGAUGCGUAGCCGACCUGAGAGGGUGAUCGGCCACACUGGGACUGAGACACGGCCCAGACUCCUACGGGAGGCAGCAGUAGGGAAUCUUCCGCAAUGGACGAAAGUCUGACGGAGCAACGCCGCGUGAGUGAUGAAGGUUUUCGGAUCGUAAAGCUCUGUUGUUAGGGAAGAACAAGUACCGUUCGAAUAGGGCGGUACCUGACGGUACCUAACCAGAAAGCCACGGCUAACUACGUGCCAGCAGCCGCGGUAAUACGUAGGUGGCAAGCGUUGUCCGGAAUUAUUGGGCGUAAAGGGCUCGCAGGCGGUUUCUUAAGUCUGAUGUGAAAGCCCCCGGCUCAACCGGGGAGGGUCAUUGGAAACUGGGGAACUUGAGUGCAGAAGAGGAGAGUGGAAUUCCACGUGUAGCGGUGAAAUGCGUAGAGAUGUGGAGGAACACCAGUGGCGAAGGCGACUCUCUGGUCUGUAACUGACGCUGAGGAGCGAAAGCGUGGGGAGCGAACAGGAUUAGAUACCCUGGUAGUCCACGCCGUAAACGAUGAGUGCUAAGUGUUAGGGGGUUUCCGCCCCUUAGUGCUGCAGCUAACGCAUUAAGCACUCCGCCUGGGGAGUACGGUCGCAAGACUGAAACUCAAAGGAAUUGACGGGGGCCCGCACAAGCGGUGGAGCAUGUGGUUUAAUUCGAAGCAACGCGAAGAACCUUACCAGGUCUUGACAUCCUCUGACAAUCCUAGAGAUAGGACGUCCCCUUCGGGGGCAGAGUGACAGGUGGUGCAUGGUUGUCGUCAGCUCGUGUCGUGAGAUGUUGGGUUAAGUCCCGCAACGAGCGCAACCCUUGAUCUUAGUUGCCAGCAUUCAGUUGGGCACUCUAAGGUGACUGCCGGUGACAAACCGGAGGAAGGUGGGGAUGACGUCAAAUCAUCAUGCCCCUUAUGACCUGGGCUACACACGUGCUACAAUGGACAGAACA
rnacentral:rRNA from 1 species